rnacentral:lncRNA from 1 species
UCGACCGCCAAAAUAAAACCCUAUCUCUCUCUUUCUUUCUCUCCCUCCUCUCGCAUUUCACGUGCGAGGAAGCUCCUUCAAUAUCGCUGCGUCUCUCUCUUCGCCCGACAUUGAUAAAAUUCAGCUUAUUACAGUACAAUUGUUUUUAUUAGUGUUUUCUUUUUCGUGUCUUUUUUUUUUUUUUUUUUUUCGUUUUCGAAUUUUCAAAAUCGGAGCAGCUAAUCAAAUUCAGUCUCCAAUCGCCAUGUCUAAGAGGUAAGGAUGAUGAUCUCUUGAUCGUUCAAUUCUCAUUUCCAUUCGAUUGUUUCUUUGAUAUCGUUUUGCUUCUUACGCUUGUAUGCUGUGUUUCAAUUUUCGCCUAUCUGUGGAAAUUGAAGUGUGAUUGGUAAUGGUUUUCGAGCUGGAUAAUGGAAAUUCUGUUUAUCGGGAGGUAUAUUGGAAAUCGUUUGUAUUUUAUCUAGUUUUUAGAUUUGAAGGAUUUGAUUAUAUGUUUUGGUGAUAGGGAAUGCCUGUGUCGGGAUAAUUAUGAUGUGUUUUAUGAAGUUUCUGAUUUUUGCUGAGAAAAUGUAGGGGAAGAAGAGGGAAAUUGGUUUUAAUUGAGGAUUUAAUGGUUAAAAGGAGAAGAAAAUAUGUUUUGGUUCACCUUUGCCGCAAAGGAGCUCUAGUUAAAGACUAAGAGGAAUGAGUUUUUGAUAUUUGAGCAAAUUGCAAUUUAGGUUUUUGAUAUGUGAUUUAUGGGAGGUAAGAAGAAUUAGAAUACUUGUUUGUUUUAAAGUAGGAUAUUGGUCGUAGGACACCCAGGGAAGCAAAGUAUUUCAUUUAACGGGGUGCUUGAGGUUAUAUAUUUUUUAUUUUUUGUUUUAGGGGUUGCAGUUUCC